rnacentral:lncRNA from 1 species
AGCAGGUGGAGGUGUUUGUGGUCUGAGUAGCAGAGGAGACUUUCUCAUCCGUACAGCUGACUAAAAUGAGGCAGAGGCGAAAGGUGCCAAAGAGACAGAGCCUCUGGUGCUGGAGGAUCAACUGCAGGAAGCCACAGGCACCAGCAGCAACGCAGGCAUGAAAGGAGAGGAUGAAGGGAGAUGAUCUCUGACAGAUGGAGCCCAGCUACAGAAUGACUCCAGUUUGGCCUCCGGUCACAGCUGAGACUUCGGUGAUCCAGCGGUGCUGUGAUUCUCCAGGGCAAGAAACAUCCUGGGAGAACAAACAUCUGCUCAGUUCCUCAUUGUUCUUGGACUGAUUAACAUCUUGUUUGCCGGAGAUGUACUGAACUCUCUGCAAGCCUUCCGUUACACCUUGUUUAUCCCAAUGUGAACUAUUGAACUCUCUGCAAGUCAUCUGUUACAUUUGUUUCUCCCGAUGUACUGAAUAAAAGGUGCGGUAAACUGGGGGCUUUUGUCUUUGCUGCCCAGAGCAGCACUGAUCAGACCCAAAGCUCAGCUUCUUCUCGGUCUCAUUUUUCUACCUUUCCUGUAAUUCGCUGUGUGCUGCCGUGGCUCGCAGGAGACCAGGACUCACUGCAGAAGUUCUGGUAACGUCUCCUUCCCCUGUUCCCUACAUUGUCUCCUUCAUACCAGCCAUGGUUUUCAAAGGUAAGUGCACGUUAAUUUAUUUUUCUUUAUAUUUUGUAUUAUAUUACAUAUUAUAAUCAUUUUUAUAUGAACGUUUUUGGGGUGGUGGAAUGAAUCAUUUGAGUUUUCAUUUUUUCUUCUUUUUUUUUUUUCUUUUUGAGACAGGGUUUCCCAAUGUAGUUCAGGCUGCCCUUGAACUCAUUAUGUAGUUCAGGCUGGUCUCAAAUUUGCGGUAAUCCUGCUGCCUCAGCCC